AUUCAUCCUGUCAUAAAAUUAGUCAUCCUUGUAUAAUAAUAGAUUUAUUUAUUUCAGAUUGAAAUGAAUGAAAAUAUGUUCGAUUAACAGGAUGGAAUCAGAUCAUCUGACAAAAUCUCUGUCCCUUGAUGGGUCUCAGGAUCCUUCCUCUUUUCUUGGAUCUAGUAUUGGUCCAAUAUCUCCAGUUACUCUACAGAUGCAGAAGCAUCUUCUCUCCUCAACACAGACAGGUUUGGAGUCAGGACGGAUACGGGUUGGUAGAAACGGAUCAUGUUCUCCAACCCCAGCUUUACCUUACACUCCAACCCCAUCUCCCUCACCCUUCAACCCUCUCUCUCCGAAUAUAACAAGUUCUCUCCCGGAUCUAAACCUUACUCUCUCCGCAGAUUCAAAGACAUUAAACUUCCUCCAUGAGGGCAAGCAGGGUGCGGCGUAUCCUGGUGGUUACGAAGACAUGGAGGUCCGAAGUUCAGGUCCCAAAUAUGCCAUCGGAGCAUUAAAUCACAUCCCUCUUGGAGCAGUUUCUCCAGCAGACCUAUCUUCAAUGCCGAGAUAUUCUCCGCAGAUUGAAUUAAACUCCGUCCUAACCUUCACGGAGCAAAGUCAGGAUCUGAGCAAUCUCCCGGUCUCGUCACAAGACAAGAUUAAGAGUUACAUUGUUAUGGACGCAAACGGAGGAGCUAGGGUCUCAAAUUCCCUCUCCAUGCUGACCACCCACCACAACACCAUAGAGAAGAACCUGCGUGUGCUGGAUAUGUCUGGGACGGAUAAGAUCCUUCCUGUCAACCUGACUGCUCCUUGUAUCACCACGUUAAACCCAGUUUCCUCCCAGCAGAUAACCUGCUUAAUUCCUGCAGUCACCACCCAGCAUAUAACUUGUAUAACCAACCUUCAAGCUCCUGCUACUACCCGGAUAUCCUGUGUCUCCGCUGUACCUAGUCUAACCUCCUCUGUUAGAAGCCUGCAGUGCCCCUCCUCCGUAUCCUCGGAGCAGAACAACGCUAUCCUGACCGGAGGAUACGACUCCUACUCCUCCUCUAUGAUACAUCCAAAGAAGAAGAGAAGAUUACUCACCUUUCUUACAGAGGAAAAUAAUAUGGGUACACUGACUGCAACUAGUACGGAGCAGGGGAUAAUUGUUAACCAAUCCCAACCUUCUAAAUCUGAUACAUUUAUCCUUAGUUCAUCCUGUCCGUCUCUAGUUUCUGUAUCCAGUAGCCCAACCUUGAUUAUCAAUCCUUCAGGAACCAUUAGUUCUGUUACUAAACCGGAACCAACUAUAUUUCUCAACACGUCGACUAAAAAUUCGAUUCCUUCGACUAUCUUUAUCAGUGAGGGCUCGAACCCUGGGAAAGAGACGAACCCUGAUGUUUAUCUGAACCAGACGGAGGGAAUCGGAAAGAACGAGCAAACCUUGAUUAUCAACUCGGAUGGGACACAAGCAACGUUAAUUACUCCAGUCUCUGCUGCUCAAGCUACACUUCUCACAUCUCAAACUUCGAAUGGAACUCUACUAGCUCCUGUUUCUGAUCCUGGUUCCCUAGUCUCCAGUCACCUGGUUCAACCAAAUGCUGUAAUCCACCAAAACUAUUUGUCUAAAUCCGCGUACACAACCGGGCACGUUAUCAGCGCCCCCACACUAAGUUUCAGACCAGUUUUAAAUCCUGCCUUGAGCGUUGAAUCUCUGGUUGGAACUGCUGGGGAUAUGGAGAAUGUUACCCUGAGUUCCGUCUCACUCCAGUUUCCUGUCAAACCUAGAGAAUCAAGUGAGCAUGAACGAAUCCAUCCGGCCCUGAACAACUAUAUAGAACAGAUGUCUGUUUAUAAGUGUAUACUCUGCGGGUAUCUGAGUACUACAGCUGAGGGGGUUGAACUUCAUCUCCUGGAUGAUCAUGAAGACAGUAUGGGACAUCUUGAUCUAGAGGAUGAGAAUAGUUGGAUAAAGGUGGCACAGCGAGAGGGAAUAAAGCUCAACUGUCCUAUGUGCGCAAAUCUAUUCUCAUCUGAAAGAUCUUUUAAGGUUCACUUGACAGAGGAUCACAUGGUUUCAGAAUCCGAGGCACUGUCAAGGUUCGGAAAAGAGAAUUCUCACAGAAAGAUUAAAACGUCCAAAAUUAUCCGGGAUGAGAAGGAGAGGUUACGGGAUGAAAGGAGAAAAAGCCGACAGCACAGUUACGAAGCGUAUGUUGACUCCCAGGGGGAACUAAGAAUACGAUCCUCCGGAGCUAAACCUAAACUAUCCAGGGAGGAACUUACAGAGGAGGAGAUCGAUGUUGACGGACUUCAGGAGGAGGAUGAUGAGGAUAACCAAGAUGAGUUUGAUAUGAAGGCAUCUGAAUACGUGAACUUGGUUCUAAAAGGAGAUUCAGUUCCGACUGGAGCCGACCAUGGUUCCUGGUUCGGAGAGAAGAAGGACCGGUGUGUACGAACUAAGAUCGGGAGACCGAAAGGAUCCCGGAGCUUCGGUUUAUCUUGGGUAAAGAAGAUUAAUCCUAACCUAGUCUUAAGUGAUCAAUUGAUGGGAGAAGAGUGUGGGAUAGAGAAUUGUGCUGUUAGACUAAAGGAUCCUGAGAAGCUAGAACAUCACCGUGUCGCCCACCGUGGUGAAUUCUAUACUUGUACCGAGUGUUGUCAGGAGUUCUCUAGUUGGCAUAAAUGUUCCCUGCAUCUGUGGCGGGAUCAUGGAAUAGAUAUGGAACUGCUUUCUUGCGAGCAUUGCGAGUAUAAAAGCUUCACUUCUACUGUCAUGGAGCGUCACAAGGUAUCUCACGUUGAUGAGAAACCGUUCCUUUGUCCUGAUUGUGGUAGAGCAGUGAAGAAUGAUAAGCAGUUGAAGGAACACAUGAAAACUGUUCAUAAAAUCGGUAUAGACGGAGAGAAGAUAAAAAAUGUUCACACCAAGUUUAAAUGUGAUAUCUGCCACAAAUGUAUGUCCUCCCAGCGUGAGUUAAAGUUCCACAAGGAGAGGGUUCAUGAAGGUCGAAAACCCUGGCUCUGUAUGCACUGUGGACACGCAGCAUUCUCCAACUCCUCCUUGAAACUACACAUGAGAUCUCACACGGGAGAUAAACCAUACUUGUGUAAGGAAUGCAAGUACAGGACGAGUGAUCACAACUCUCUCAGGAGACAUAUGCUCCGACACUCCGGAGAGAAACCGUAUAGAUGUCCUUACUGUCCUUACUCCGCUAUACAGUCCUCAGGGUACAAGGUUCAUCUACGAAAGAAGCAUCCAGAGAAGGGAGGGGAAUUGUUCCAAUGCAGAGACUGUAGUUAUGCUACACUUCAGGAGAAGUUGUUCCUGGUUCAUGUUUCAACCCAUCAUAAUAAUGACAAGGAGAACCUCGGAGACCCAACCUUGAGACGGAGAAACUCCGGCAAUCCGUCCUGUAAACCUAGCUCCGAGGAUCCGGAGACAUCCAUCUGGAUGAACUCAGAGAUGGAAUAAUCAAGUGAAUUUAUAAUCACAAACCUUGCUCCGAGGAUCCGGAGUCAUCCAUCUGGAUGAACUCUUAGAUGGAAUAAUCCGAACAUCUAUAAUCACAAACCUAGCUUCGAGGAUCCGGAGUCAUCCAUCUGGAUGAACUCUGAGAUGGAAUAAUCAGAGAAUUUAUAAUCACAAACCUUUCUCGGAGGAUCUGAAUGAACCCGGAGAUAAAUAAUCAGAGAAUCUAUAAUCAAAAACCUUGCUUAAGGAACUGAAGAAUCAAUUUUAAGUAACCCACCAUUUGUUGAGUGGGUUGCCCCUCUUGAAAUAGUGGGUUCCUUACAGCAUUCCCUUCAGUCAGUUUUUAAAUUCUGGAUCUUAAAAAUUAGUCGAGAGUAUAUAUCCCAAGAUAUUUUAUGUUUCGUAAUAUAGUGAAGAGUGUGAUUUAUUAUUUUUAGUUUUUGUCUUGCUUAUAGAGGUCCUUACUUAUAAAGUUUGGACCACAGUAUUUACUCUUUUGUGUUUCAUAUUUAAAAUUUAUUCUGUUGAAAAUUUCAAAUUGUCUGUGAUAUUGGAAAUACACUAUUUAUACAUA
rnacentral:misc_RNA from 1 species